UCAAGAAUCGACCGAUAGACCGUGAACCUUUAAACAUACGACACCAUGUCGGGCAGGCAUUAUGCCUGCCCUACUCGGGACCUCACAUGGUGUCCAUGACCGCCUAUGAGUGUUCUCAGCACGAUUUGCGGGGGACAAACGAAACCUCGACGCGGCCUGCGCUAAGGAACAUAUGUCAGGACGGACGUGCGUCAACGCCUCUAUGGUGGGGUGACGUCCGCUCUCUAUC
rnacentral:misc_RNA from 1 species